AUGGCGAAAUGUGUCUGGUCACUCUUGGAGGAGGAUCUGGUCGAGAACGUCAUCGCAUGUAACAUCCCUGAUGCAAAACUUUGGCUAUUGGAGAUUAUGGACUCAACUAAGGAGGAAGAGUUUCUGAAAAUUUUGGUGAUUUUAUGGGCCAUUUGGUGGGUUCGGCGGAAAGCCAUUCACGAACAAGAAUACCAAUAUGCGCUUUCUACAUACUAUUUUAUUGAGAAAUAUUUGAAUGAUCUCGUUUUGAUCCCGGCCAAGGCAGGCAGGCUACCUGUUGUUGUUCAAGCUAGAACGGACUUGGGUAGUAGGAGGACUUGGGUACCCCCUGUACAGGGGUGUGCUAAAUUGAUGGUGGACGCAGCAGUUUCAAAAAAUCAUGAAAAGGGAGCCUAUGCAAUUGUUUGCAGGGACGAGAAAGGUGUUUACUAA
rnacentral:rRNA from 1 species